rnacentral:rRNA from 1 species
AGUGAACGCUGGCGGCGUGCUUAACACAUGCAAGUCGAACGAGAACGGAUUAUAGCUUGCUAUAAUUGUCAGCUAAGUGGCGCACGGGUGAGUAAUAUAUAGGUAACGUGCCCCAAAGAAGAGGAUAACAGAUGGAAACGCCUGCUAAGACUCUAUAUGCCUUUAUGACAUAAGUCAGCAAGGGAAAUAUUUAUAGCUUUGGGAUCGGCCUGUACAGUAUCAGUUAGUUGGUGAGGUAAUGGCUCACCAAGACAAUGACGCUUAACUGGUUUGAGAGGAUGAUCAGUCACACUGGAACUGAGACACGGUCCAGACUCCUACGGGAGGCAGCAGUGGGGAAUAUUGCACAAUGGACGAAAGUCUGAUGCAGCAACGCCGCGUGGAGGAUGACACAUUUCGGUGCGUAAACUCCUUUUAUAUGGGAAGAUAAUGACGGUACCAUAUGAAUAAGCACCGGCUAACUCCGUGCCAGCAGCCGCGGUAAUACGGAGGGUGCAAGCGUUACUCGGAAUCACUGGGCGUAAAGAGCGUGUAGGCGGAUAGGUAAGUCAGAAGUGAAAUCCAAUAGCUCAACUAUUGAACUGCUUUUGAAACUGCUUAUCUAGAAUAUGGGAGAGGUAGAUGGAAUUUCUGGUGUAGGGGUAAAAUCCGUAGAGAUCAGAAGGAAUACCGAUUGCGAAGGCGAUCUACUGGAACAUUAUUGACGCUGAGACGCGAAAGCGUGGGGAGCAAACA